rnacentral:rRNA from 1 species
AUUGAACGCUGGCGGCAUGCCUUACACAUGCAAGCCGAACGGUAACAGGUCUUCGGAUGCUGACGAGUGGCGAACGGGUGAGUAAUGCAUCGGAACGUGCCAUUGAGUGGGGGAUAACGUAGCGAAAGUUACGCUAAUACCGCAUAUUCUCUCCGGAGGAAAGCAGGGGAUCGUAAGAACUUGUGCUCUUUGAGCGGCCGAUGUCGGAUUAGCCAGUUGGUGAGGUAAAGGCUCACCAAGGCUACGAUCCGUAGCGGGUCUGAGAGGAUGAUCCGCCACACUGGGACUGAGACACGGCCCAGACUCCUACGGGAGGCAGCAGUGGGGAAUUUUGGACAAUGGGCGCAAGCCUGAUCCAGCCAUGCCGCGUGAGUGAAGAAGGCCUUCGGGUUGUAAAGCUCUUUCAGCCGGGAAGAAAACGCAUGGGUUAAUACCCUGUGCAGAUGACGGUACCGGAAUAAGAAGCACCGGCUAACUACGUGCCAGCAGCCGCAGUAA